CCGCCUCAGCCAGCAGCCGAUUCCACAUCGCAGCCCACCUGGAAUUCACCACAGGAUUUCUGUUGAAUAUUUUCCUGCCUAUGUUUUGGGCCACAGACAUCAGGACUAGUAACAAAUCACUUAGAGUAAGGAAGAGACAGAAGUGUGGGACCCUUUCUUCUCUGUAUUCACCUGGAGAAUUUGUUGGGCAUUGAAAAGCCUUUCAGCUUCAGUGCUUGAAGAGGUGACAUUAGAAAUGACAUUCCCCUGUGCAUGCAGAAACAUCUCUGCUCAGGUUAUGGCUAAAGGCUAACAAGGAGCUGGACUACAUCAAAUCAAGCUAAAUUAUUUCCACUGCUGACGAGAUUUCACCAAAGAACAUGGGAGAAUGGCUACAAAGACUAACCACCAGGAAAGGGUGCAUGAAUUCUGAGUGGCACUUCUACUGGCUGUCAAAACCACAAAUACGUGUGCUCCAGUACCAGACCUGGGACCAGGAUUUCUGCUAAGGUAUGCUGUGACUUGCCUGCCACAAAGGAAAUCAGACUGAAGAGAGAUGAGUGCAGGGGAGAUCAGGCAGGAGUGGUAUUUGGUGUGGACACAAGCAAAUGAGGCUGAAGUAGCAACUUCUUUGGACAUACUCAGUGGUUUCAUGGUACAUAUGUGAAGUGAAAGAAUCUGAAGAAUGUUGCACUUCCUAUAAGCUGAAAGAAUAGUAAUAAUAGUAAUUUAAAAAAAAAAAAA